rnacentral:rRNA from 1 species
UACGAAGGGGGCGAGCGUUGUUCGGAUUUACUGGGCGUAAAGGGCGCGCAGGCGGCUCAUUUUGUCAGGCGUGAAAGCCCCGGGCUUAACCUGGGAACUGCGUUUGAUACGGAUGGGCUAGAGUUCGGGAGAGGAGAGUGGAAUUCCCAGUGUAGAGGUGAAAUUCGUAGAUAUUGGGAAGAACACCGGUGGCGAAGGCGGGCUACUGGGCCGAUACUGACGCUGAUGCGCGAAAGCGUGGGGAGCAAACAGG